rnacentral:tRNA from 3 species
GGAGGGUUGGCCGAGAGGUCUAUGGCGAUGGGUUGCUAACCCAUUGAGUUGCAAGACUCGCACAGGUUCAAAUCCUGUACCCUCCGCCA